AUCGUAUGAAACGAGGUUUCGUACGAUAUUAUCGGUGCGUGUAUGGCCAGCUUUACUGAAGUUGACCAACUAGAUGUAAUAGCUAACCUAUUUGCUAUGAGUUACAGCUCCAGAGUUUUGCCCCAGUUUUGUGAACUGCCCCAUAGUGUAGUGAAAUGUGAGCCUUUUCCUGCUGAUACUCGAUGCUUCACUGGCCUGUGCAUGUUGGGACAUGGGAGGUGCUGGCUCUUUGCCACCUUACCAUUAACAUAUAAUCCUUGUUAUGAUUGUGUUAUUAUGUUUUAGGACCAUAUUAAAGUGACAAAUUGCAUUGAAAUACAUGGGAUCAUAUUUUAAAUAAGGAGAUAAUAGCUGAGCCCCCUCAAGAAACUUUUGUUGGGUGGAAUUAAGCACUAAAUGUUCAAUCAGUUACAGUUGAUAUCACCAUUCUUUUUAUCUACAGAGGGUGACAAGGCUGAAGUUAGCGACUUUGCCAAGAACUUCCUCCCAAUGUGAAAAUUUAACGAAAUGGCGCAAAAUGACGCACAGGAAAUAAAAUGUUUUUCCUGCGCAUCAUUUCUUUAACUUGCAACAAUUUUUUUGUCAUGCGGUGAAAUUUUAUGCGCCCAUUUUUUUGCGCCCGUUUCAUGAAACAAUCCAUCAAUGGGAAAACACUGAAAUUCACUGCGAAUCCAUGCCUGCCGUUACAUUUUUCUCAUCACUACUGACAAACCCAAAUGAGGAGCCUGUCUUUGGUUUGAAACAAAUUGCAAGUUCAUUGACAGGAAUAUGGAUAACAUGCCCUGUGGGCCAUAUGCCUAAUAAGAGACAGUUUCAGCAAAAUAUCUAAAAGCGGGGUAAGUAAAAACAGAACUGUCUAAUGGUUCCUUUUUGUCAUCUAAAUUAUUUGUAGAUGGUUAGUGGGUUUUUGGAUAAAGCAACUGUCAAACUGACAGAAGCGGAGAGUGCAGAGCCCACAAGGUAAGAUUUCAUUUCAGUGCUUUAUGUGGUUGUUUUAAGUGUUUUCAAAAGAAUUUUUAAAUGGCUUCUGGUUAAGUAAUACUAAAGCUUGAAACCCACCUACGAUUUUCUUUAUAACAUUAAACCCAUUUAACGACCUAUUUUCUCCUUACAAUUAAAGAAAUGGCUUUUCUUCUUGAAUGUCCUUUUUUGAACAGUAAAAAAAACUGCUGGUGAUGGCAUUCACAUUUGUAGUAAUUUCAUACUGUGCUGUCAUUUCUGGAGACAAUUUUAUAGCCUUAUAUUAAUUACAUAGGUGUUUUAUUUUGGUAAAAAUCACAGUAGGAAAUGGAACAAGCAUGGAAAAUAGUUUAUGCAGCCUGCCUCAUAUUAUAGAUCUUUUUGCAGUUGUAUAGUAAAGCUCUGUGCAUCCUUAGGCAGUUUUCUUGUAGACAUUGCAGAUAUCAAUGCAGAUAUUUUGGCAUUGAAACGGACAGUAGGACAGCAGUAUAGAGUGUUCAGUCUGUUCUUGGAUAUAAUGCUUGUCUUGUGAUCCAACUUGCUCAGUUUGUAGCUGAUAGAAGAAAAAUCUCUAUUCUAAAAUGUGUGUCUGUAAUUCCUGCUUUUUAUAUCACAAUACAGUACCCCAAACUUUGUAAGGGCUGGAACUCUACUUGUGUCAGUGAGAGUAGGGGCUUUCCUAGCAGGCAGAGAAUGAGCAGUUUAUUAUGUGUGCGGUAGCCUCCUAGAGACUUACAUCUUAGUGUGAACCUACAAGUUUCUUUUAUUUUGUACCUUUUACUUUACACCAACCUUCAGCCUACACAGUGCUGCUAAUAUUAGGCUGCUGUUUUGUUAUGUACUAUUGUAAUACAUUAUUGGCAGUUAUUUGAGGAUGUGAACCUAUGGUCAAUCAAUUGAAAUAAUACAUUGAGAUGCGUACCGGUGCUAUAUUGGAUCAGGCCACGAGAUGGCAGUAAUUGCUAGAUAUAUAUAGAGGUAGGUUGGUAAAGCUGAAACAUGUUGUGCUGAAAGUGCUGCAAUAUAAGUCACUAGGGGAAGGACAUAAGUUGCCCAGUCUGCUCUCUGGGUUAUGCUUUUUGCAUUACUUGUGACUUCUGCAACUAACACGGGGUUGCUACCUGUUUAGGAACAUGUACAUGCUUAUAUAAGGACAGUUUGGUGUAUGAAUUAUAAUUAAGCUGCAGUUUCAUGAAGGGGAGAGAUUAGAGAUAUAUAUUGCUUGCAAAAAUAAUUGCAUAUACCUGUCACUCUUAUUUAUCUACAUACUCUGCUUCCUUUCCCUUUUCUGGGCAGUAUAAAUCUACUUACAGGGUUUCCAUAUCUGCAAAGAGCAUCCCCCCCGGGCUGUAUGUAUCUGCUUACAGAUUGCUCUUGCUGUUACCAUUUACCUUCAAGCUGUGCACAGACGGCUUACUAAAGGAUUCCUUUUCCUGUGCGCAGAAGCUUUGCCUGGUGCUGUGUUUUUUAGACACAUUACUUGCUCUUCGAGGGAUAACGACGUGGAGAUAACUUGUCCAGUCAGUUAGCCACUGUGCAUCCAUUUGCCUGCUUAUUCUGUGCUGGGAGAAUGGAAUAUACUGUAUUUCCUCCAUCCCCACACAGCUGAGUAGAGAAUCGCAAACUUUUUUCCCUUUUCAAUAACAUUAUGGCUGAAUGUCUGACAGACGGCAAUGUUUUCCUAAGUAUGUUGCUUUCUUAUGAGCUAAGUGGGUUCCUUGCCAAAGGCUGGAUCUUUAAGGGGCAAACUUGAACAGAAAAAGUGCACCAACCGUUGAGCAUUAAAGAUAAGUCAAACCUUGUUAUUUAUGUCUUUUUAACAUUUAAGAGCUAAAGCCAAGGAUUCCAGCACCAGUCAUCAAACACCCACUGCAGCGCAGACUUUCAUUAAUACCUCUCACAACAUUUGAUGAAUCGGUGGAUUAAAAGUAAAGAAAUCUCUUUGAAAGGAUGUGACUCCUUUAUUAAUGAAUUGAUUAGAUAGAAGCUAUAGAAAAUAUCGACAGUGACAUGAGGCGCUUCUUCCGCGUGAAGCUUAAAAACAUCUUCAACAAGUUCAUUCGAAAGUUUGGUAUGGAAGACAUUUUGGCUGAUUCUGAUGAAGAAGUAGAGGAAGAGGAAGAGAAACCAACCAAACAACAAAAGAAACGGGCCCGGCAGAAGAGCCAGGCUUGGCUUAAAGAAGGGGGGGAAGAUGACCCAGUAAAUUUCCUUGAUC